UACGAAGGGGCGUAGCGUUGCUCGGAAUCAUCUGGGCGUAAAGCGCACGUAGGCGGCUUGUUAAGUCAGGGGUGAAAUCCUGGAGCUCAACUCCAGAACUGCCUUUGAUACUGGCGGCCUUGAGUCCGGGAGAGGUGAGUGGAACUGCGAGUUGUAGAGGUGAAAUUCGUAGAUAUUCGCAAGAACACCAGUGGCGAAGGCGGACUCACUGGCCCGGUACGUGACGCUGAGGUGCGAAAGCGAU
rnacentral:rRNA from 1 species